AGAAUGUAUAGUUUCUGUAUAACUGUUCUAAGUCAUAUGUGAUUAUUUCCCUCAACAUUUUACCUCUUUGCUGUUCAGAAGUGCGGCCCUUGGACCAGAGGCAUUGGCAACACUUGGUGAACUUGUUAGAAACGCAGAAACUCGGGUCCCGCCCCAGGAUGGCAUCAGAGCCUGUAUGUUAACAAGAUCUCCAGGUUGUGGUUGUGUACGUUAAAUUCUUGAGAAGUACGCUUCCGACUCACCGUGAGUCCCAUUGAGAAAGAUGCACAACUUACGUGUGAUGUAAACAGAGCAGCCGAACAGAACUGUGGAUGCCCGUGUGGAUGCCCUAAGGGUAGUCUUUCUCGGGGUUUGGUGAACCUUACGCCCUCCUCUUUCCUCCGAAUUAGGGAGAACGUCAGGGAAUGUUUUUGUGUCCAGUCCUCUUAGCGUGUAAUUCCGAACACUCACUUAAGUCAGAACCAGUUCUCUGAACUGUCUCUUAGGUAAAAUUACACAGUCUGCCCAGUGGCCGCAUGGUAAGUGUAUUAUUUAUUUCAGGGACGGUUGACAUUCAGGGAUGUGGCCAAAGAUUCCUCCCAGGAGCAGUGGGAGUGCCUGGACCCUGCCCAGUAGGAUUUCACCCAGUGCUUACUGGUAACAAUUCUGGGAAGAAAAUGAAGUGGUGAGAACUAUGGGAAUCCUUCACUGGUCUUGAUUUGAGUAAGUUGCGUUGGUUAACCCUCAUGCUUCUGUGUGUGAGGGGUUCUUGUGAGCCUUCCCUCUUUCUUCCACGGACACUGUCCUGCUGCUACUUCCUGUCACGAGCAAGAGUCAGCAUUGCUGUUGAUUUCCUACAAAACCCUGUAUUAGUUGACAUUGAAUCAUGCAGAGACUCAACAUUGGAACAUAGCGGUGCAGAGAAAUCCAGUGAUUUCUAACGUGAAACAUCGGUGUCAUGGAUGGCGUUUGCUUGCGUGUGUCGGGAAAUCCUCAGGUGAUGCCUGUCUCAUUUUUGUCUCUGCUCAUAGCUUAGGUGUUGGUGCACACGACAGUGUGAAGAGAAGGAAAGAACAUGUUUUCUUGGCAGAAUGACUUCCUAGGGAAGUUCUCUGCGAAUGCAGGGAGACGGCUGUGCCUCCUGACCUGUCAGACCCCAGAGUUUCCUGCCCACGUCAGUCCAGAGUUGCGAUGAUGGUCUUCAAACGUGCCAACGUUUGCCAGGGUCGGCCUGGAGGGAUGACAGAGGAAGAGACUUGCUCGAACACUCCAAAGCUCCCUUGGGAGCCACUGAAAGGAAACGUGUAAUUGUUUUGUUUGGUUCAUUUUUUUUUUUUUUUUAAUUAGCAACUGGAAAAAGGUUCCCGGAAACUUUCUCCCUCCCAGCCCGCUCUCUGAUUGCUGCUGUGGGAGAGAGGACAAGUGCGGUCCUGAGGGGCAGGUGCGGUCACAGGAUCCUGAACCCAUAUCUCAGGGUCUGGCUGCCUCCUCCUCUCACCUGCACCGGCUGGUGAGACCUUCACGUCAGCCCACCGUCCUCACCGCAGGCAGAAGCGUACCUCCCACGGAGAGGCAGACUUUACCAUGAUAGCCUGGUGUUAGAAGUCCGGGUAAGUGGUUGUAUUAGAAAAGGGGCUGCUUCUGGGUUUGACCUCGGUCUACUGUCCCUGCCACACAGAGGCAGGAAUAAUUCCUGGGGCGUCAGCUAAGCUAAUGAGGCAGACGAAGUCCUUCACGUCACCCAGUGAUGGUGGCCCCUGCGUUAAUGUCCGUGUAACUGACCAUGACAGUCAUUUAAUGAAACCUGAUUUUUAAAGUGCUCAGGGAUCAUAGUUCUGAGAUCAACCUGCCCUCUGUCUACCUUAUAGGACUCAGAGCCUCAAUUGCAGGAUUCCCAGACUUGUGCUCGUAACACAUUCGGGCUUGUAAUCACAGGAUGAA
ensembl:lncRNA